UUUCUUUGCACGCAGUUGGAAACUUUGAUUAGCUUUGUGUCAGUCUUGUAAUAAGAAUUGGAAGUGAUCAGAUCUAACGGAUCCUCAACAUCGAAGGUUGGCAGAGAUGCUUUUGGUUUUCAAUACUAUGGCUAAUCUUUACUCCAAUAUACGGUACCUCCGAGAGCUCUAAAGUAGCUACAGCCGCAAAUAAUGAGCCUGUUGGAAGAAGAAAGGUUGACACCACAUAUCCAAUCCACUUAGUUAAUUCUUACGUCACCCAAUUAAUUAUUACUUCUUUUUAUUUUUGAGUUAAAUAAUCUGCUGCUUCAUUAAAAUUAUCAUUAAAGAGUUCAUUUAUCUACCUUAAUGAAGAUUUUUCUUGCUUCGCUGAUAUGUACUUAAGACAUAAAUAUGUGAUUUUUAUUUAUUUUGUAUAUGAAUUUUAUUAUGUAUCACGUGUU
rnacentral:misc_RNA from 1 species